rnacentral:piRNA from 1 species
UUAAACAGUCAGCUGUUGAUGAGGAA